rnacentral:rRNA from 1 species
CACCUCUCGUAUUCUAUGAGAGGCCCUGCCUGCCCAGUGACUUAAAAGUUCAACGGCCGCGGUACCCUGACCGUGCAAAGGUAGCAUAAUCACUUGCCCUAUAAUUGAGGGCUAGAAUGAAAGGCAAGACGAAGGUUUUACUGUCUCUAAGGUAAUAAAAAAAUUAUGCUUUAGGUGAAGACCCCUAAAUAAAAAUACUGGACGAGAAGACCCUAUAGAGCUUUACUACUAUCUUAAACUCUUUAUAACAAUUUAUAUUACAUCAAUUACUGGUAGUUAGUUUGGUUGGGGCGACCAAGGAACAAUAUAAGCUUCCUAAACCACAUUUAGACAUUAAGUCUUUAUUUGACCCGUUAGUUACGACCAUCAAAUCAAGCUACCUUAGGGAUAACAGCGUAAUCUUUUUUAAGAGUUCAUAUCUACAAAAAGGAUUGCGACCUCGAUGUUGGACUAGGAUAUCCUAAGGGUGUAGCAGCUCUUAAUGGUAGGUCUGUUCGACCUUUAAAAUCCU